rnacentral:rRNA from 1 species
CCUACGGGAGGCAGCAGUGAGGAAUAUUGGUCAAUGGACGAGAGUCUGAACCAGCCAAGUAGCGUGAAGGAUGACUGCCCUAUGGGUUGUAAACUUCUUUUAUAUGGGAAUAAAACGUUCCACGUGUGGGAUUUUGUAUGUACCAUAUGCAUAAGGAUCGGCUAACUCCGUGCCAGCAGCCGCGGUAAUACGGAGGAUCCGAGCGUUAUCCGGAUUUAUUGGGUUUAAAGGGAGCGUAGGUGGAUUGUUAAGUCAGUUGUGAAAGUUUGCGGCUCAACCGUAAAAUUGCAGUUGAAACUGGCAGUCUUGAGUACAGUAGAGGUGGGCGGAAUUCGAGGUGUAGCGGUGAAAUGCUUAGAUAUCACGAAGAACUCCGAUUGCGAAGGCAGUUCACUGGACUGCAACUGACACUGAGGCUCGAAAGUGUGGGUAUCAAACAGGAUUAGAUACCCGAGUAGUC